rnacentral:rRNA from 1 species
GAGUGAACCGGGAAGAGCUCAAAUUUGAAAUCUGGCGUCCUCAGGGCGUCCGAGUUGUAAUCUAUAGAGGCGUUUUCCGUGCCGGACCGUGUCCAAGUUCCUUGGAACAGGAUAUCAAAGAGGGUGACAAUCCCGUACUUGACACGAUGACCGGUGCUCUGUGAUACGUCUUCUACGAGUCGAGUUGUUUGGGAAUGCAGCUCAAAAUGGGUGGUGAGUUCCAUCUAAAGCUAAAUAUUGGCGAGAGACCGAUAGCGAACAAGUACCGUGAGGGAAAGAUGAAAAGCACUUUGGAAAGAGAGUUAAACAGUACGUGAAAUUGUUGAAAGGGAAACGAUUGAAGUCAGUCGUGACUGAGAGGCUCAGCCGGUUCUGCCGGUGUAUUCCCCUCAGUCGGGUCAACAUCAGUUUUGUCCGGUGGAAAAGGGCGGUAGGAACGUGGCACCUCCGGGUGUGUUAUAGCCUGCCGUCGCAUACAUCGGGUGAGACUGAGGAAUGCAGCUCGCCUUUAUGGCCGGGGUUCGCCCACGUCCGAGCUUAGGAUGUUGACAUAAUGGCUUUAAACGACCCGUCUUGAACCACG